rnacentral:rRNA from 1 species
UACGGGGGGAGCAAGCGUUGUUCGGAUUUACUGGGCGUAAAGGGCGGGUAGGCGGCCACCGCAAGUCAGUUGUGAAAUCUCCGGGCUUAACCCGGAAAGGUCAACUGAUACUGCGGGGCUAGAGUGCAGAAGGGGCAACUGGAAUUCUCGGUGUAGCGGUGAAAUGCGUAGAUAUCGAGAGGAACACCUGCGGCGAAGGCGGAUCUCUGGGCCAUUACUGACGCUGAGGAGCGAAAGCGUGGGGAGCGAACAGG